rnacentral:rRNA from 1 species
AGAAUGAACGCUGGCGGCGUGCCUUACACAUGCAAGUCGAGCGAGGCCGGGUAGCAAUACCCGAGUCGAGCGGCAGACGGGUGAGUAACACGUGGGUGACCUACCUCGAGGUGGGGGAUAACCCGGAGAAAUUCGGGCUAAUACCGCAUAACAUCGAAAGAUCAAAGAGGGGCGCAAGCCUCUCGCCGUGAGAGGGGCCCGCGUCUGAUUAGCUAGUUGGUGAGGUAACGGCUCACCAAGGCGACGAUCAGUAGCCGGCCUGAGAGGGCGAGUCGGACCGACACCUGGAACUGAGACACGGUCCAGGACUCCUACGGGAGGCAGCAGUGGGGAAUUUGCGCAAGUGGGGGAAACCCUGGACGCAGCAACGCCGCGUGGAGGAUGAAGGUCUGGAUUGUAACUCCUGUCAGCGAGG